AGAACAACAAUUGUGAACAAGAAUGAAGCAAUGAUGGACAUGGACCAGGUAUUAACAUUACAAUCGACUCAGAUUACAGAAAUAUGCUAGUAAUGACAAGAGAUAGUAGAAUAGAACUUUGAGAUGCACUUUAUGAUCAAUCUACUCAUAUAUGAACUCCUUGAGGGAAUGUGAAUGGGAAGCAUGAUAAAGAAAAAGGUGUAAAUGUGCAAGUUAUUUUGCGUUGCAAGCCGUUGAGUGAGGAUGAGAUAAGAUUGCAUACACCAGUUGUGAUUUCCUGUAAUGAAGGUAGAAGAGAAGUUUCUGCUAUUCAGAACAUAGCUAAUAAGCAGAUUGACAGAACAUUUGCCUUUGAUAAGGUAUUUGGUCCAACAUCCCAACAGUAGAAUAGAACUUUGAGAUGCAC